rnacentral:misc_RNA from 1 species
UUGGUAUUGGAACUUUGAAUCUCAGGGAGCUUGAUUACUGGCCACCACAAGAUAGAGAUGUUAAUCAAAGGAGUCUAUCCCUCCCAGCAGCUGGGCUGCUCCAAGAAUGCAUCACACUCAGAAAGUUGUUCAUCCAUGGAACGGCACAUGAACAUUUCAUGAUGUUCCUGCUUAGAAUCCCAAACCUACGAGAUGUACAGCUGAGAGAAG